rnacentral:rRNA from 1 species
GAUGAACGCUGGCGGCGUGCCUAAUACAUGCAAGUCGAGCGAACGGACGAGAAGCUUGCUUCUCUGAUGUUAGCGGCGGACGGGUGAGUAACACGUGGAUAACCUACCUAUAAGACUGGGAUAACUUCGUGAAACCGUAGCUAAUACCGGAUAAUAUUUUGAACCGCAUGGUUCAAAAGUGAAAGACGGUCUUGCUGUCACUUAUAGAUGGAUCCGCGCUGCAUUAGCUAGUUGGUAAGGUAACGGCUUACCAAGGCAACGAUGCAUAGCCGACCUGAGAGGGUGAUCGGCCACACUGGAACUGAGACACGGUCCAGACUCCUACGGGAGGCAGCAGUAGGGAAUCUUCCGAAAUGGGCGAAAGCCUGACGGAGCAACGCCGGGUGAGUGAUGAAGGUCUUCGGAUCGUAAAACUCUGUUAUUAGGGAAGAACAUAUGUGUAAGUAACUGUGCACAUCUUGACGGUACCAAAUCAGAAAGCCACGGCUAACUACGU